GACAGAGGGUGCAAACGUUGUUCGGAAUUACUGGGCGUAAAGCGCGUGUAGGCGGUUUGCAAGUCGGGUGUGAAAUCCCACGGCUCAACCGUGGAAGUGCACUCGAAACUGCAAGGCUAGAGUCCUGGAGAGGAAGGUGGAAUGCUUGGUGUAGAGGUGAAAUUCGUAGAUAUCAAGCGGAACACCGGUGGCGAAGGCGGCCUUCUGGACAGUGACGUGACGCUGAGACGCGAAAGCGUGGGGAGCAAACAGG
rnacentral:rRNA from 1 species